ACUUGUCUCGUUUGUAAGUCGCUCUGGAUAAGAGCGUCUGCUAAAUGACUUAAA
rfam:Salmo salar isolate Sally breed double haploid chromosome ssa22, whole genome shotgun sequence.